rnacentral:misc_RNA from 1 species
UCUCUACUUGCGUAGGCAGUCUCACUAGAGUCUCCAACUUAAUGAUGGCAACUAGUGACAGGGGUUGCGCUCGUUGCAGGACUUAACCUAACACCUCACGGCACGAGCUGACGACAACCAUGCAGCACCUUGAAAAUUGCCCGAAGGAAGGUCUAUUUCUAAACCGAUCAAUUCCCAUUUAAGCCUUGGUAAGGUUCCUCGCGUAUCAUCGAAUUAAACCACAUACUCCACCGCUUGUGCGGGCCCCCGUCAAUUCCUUUGAGUUUUAGCCUUGCGGCCGUACUCCCCAGGCGGAGUGCUUAAUGCGUUAGCUGCGGCACAGAGAGGGUUGAAGACCUCCCCACACCUAGCACUCAACGUUUACGGCUGGGACUAC